rnacentral:rRNA from 1 species
CCACGCCGUAAACGAUGAAUACUAGGUGUAGGAGGUAUCGACUCCUUCUGUGCCGCAGUUAACGCAAUAAGUAUUCCACCUGGGGAGUACGGCCGCAAGGUUAAAACUCAAAGGAAUUGACGGGGGCCCGCACAAGCAGUGGAGUAUGUGGUUUAAUUCGAGGCAACGCGAAGAACCUUACCAGGGCUUGACAUCCCUUGACCGCCCUAGAGAUAGGGAAUCCCUACGGGGCAAGGAGACAGGUGGUGCAUGGUUGU